rnacentral:lncRNA from 11 species
AAAAUAUUGAAAGGAAAUCUUUCCAGUUUAAAUAUAUUUAUUGAUUUUUUAGGUUGGACUGACCUUUCUGCAAAGCUCAUCACUGACAAGCUCCAUAAUGAAAGAUCAUAAGGUUGGGAUUCAACUCUGACAUCUUCUGGGUGCCUCCUUCCCUGCCUGCCUGAAGCUGAACAACUGGAUAAGGUAU